rnacentral:siRNA from 1 species
GAUAGUUUGAUGAUUGGUUUGCAA